UAGAAUGUGAUGUAAGGAAGCAUAAAGAGUUUUGAUCUCUUUUGUGUAGGUUCGAGUCCUAUUUUUCUAA
rnacentral:tRNA from 1 species